UGCGUAGGCGGCUUAUUAAGUCAGUGGUGAAAUCCUGCGGCUCAACCGUAGAACUGCCAUUGAAACUGAUAAGCUUGAAUAUAGUUGAGGUAGGCGGAAUGAGUAGUGUAGCGGUGAAAUGCUUAGAUAUUACUCAGAACACCGAUUGCGAAGGCAGCUUACUAAACUAUUAUUGACGCUGAUGCACGAAAGCGUGGGGAGCGAACAGGAUUAGAUACCCUGGUAGUCC
rnacentral:rRNA from 1 species